rnacentral:lncRNA from 1 species
GCACCCCAUCAAAUUUUGCCGAAAGUAGUUCUGCAUCAUCUUGACAGAUAAGAAGCUUUUGUUGUAGCUCUUGUAUAAUAUCUCCCAUGGUCUGUUUUCUGGCUUUAGUUCGCCUUAAUUGUUGCUGCAAGCCUUUUCUUUUUCUUUUUAGUUUAUCCUCUAGGGUUUUCCUAUCUUGGUCUUCUUCCAAAUCUUCUAUGGUGUUGGCUUUUUUGCAGUAGGUAUGGUCAUGGUUGACAAUAUCAAGAGAUGAUACGGUUGUCAACACCUCUAGAUUACAUGGAUGUUCUAUCUUUUUUCUUAAUUUUUAGGGUCACUUGAUGGGUCACUGGGUCACUUGAUGAAUUGAAUAUAGUAGGUACAGCUGUGGAUUUCAACCUGCAGCUUUCAUUUUCAGAAGGAGGAAUAAUGUAAUCUGAUUGUGGGAAGUGCUUGCUGCAGAUGUAUGUAUAUCGUGUUGCUUUCCAUUCAGGGGAGUUAUUUACUUCGCAGACUGCUUUCUCCCACUUUCCAAGAACUUUUGGGUUACUUAGAGGAAAUCUAAAUAAAUGCAGUGUAAAUUGCAAUGUGUGAGUGUAUGUGUAUAUGUAUGUACAUAAUUAUUAUGCUUACUUUAUAUUUGUAUUUAAUUAGAUCCUUAGCUG